rnacentral:misc_RNA from 1 species
GAUGAAGAACGUAGCGAAACGCGAUAUUUAGUGCGAAUUGCAGAAUUCAGUGAAUCAUCAAAUUUUGAACGCAAGUUGCGCUCUUGGGAUAUUCCUGGGAGCAUGCCUCUUUCAGUGUCGGGUCAACAUACCAUCAUCUCUGAUGACGAUGGUGUUGUGCAGCUUUGAGCCGGUUAAACGGCGCGAAUCUGUCAAAUACCAAGCACUGCUGGUUUUGAUCAUGCGGUUCGACGCGCAAUCCUGUACUUGGACAGUUUCUGUUCGGCGUGCAAUUGUCGUCAAUGCAACCACAUGCUUCAUCUCCGCUCAAAGCAGCGCCAAUGUCUCGCAGCUCCGUGCUCUUGACAACUCACAUAACAAUGACCUGAGGGAGGUAAGAUUACCCGCUUGACUUAAGCAUAUCAAUAAGCGGAGGA